UGCCCAUUGGCCCAGUGGUUAAGGCGUCUGACUGUUACUCUAUGUUUAUAGAUGAUCAGGAAUAUCAGAAGAUCCCUGGUUCGACCCCAGGAUGGGCAG